rnacentral:rRNA from 1 species
GUACACGCUGUGACUAGCAUAUCAAUAAGCGGAGGAAAAGAAACUAACAAGGAUUCCCCUAGUAACGGCGAGUGAAGCGGGAAGAGCUCAAAUUUGAAAUCUUAAAGGGUUUCCCUUUACGAAUUGUAGUUUAAAGAAGUGUUUUCUGUUGAGGUUUCGGUAAAAGUUCUUUGGAAUAGGACAUCAUAGAGGGUGAGAAUCCCGUAUUUGACCUUUACUUUCAACUUUGUGAUACACUUUCAAAGAGUCGGAUUGUUUGGGAAUGCAGUCCAAAAUGGGUGGUAAAUUUCAUCUAAAGCUAAAUAUUGGCGAGAGACCGAUAGCGAACAAGUACCAUGAGGGAAAGAUGAAAAGAACUUUGAAAAGAGAGUUAGACAGUACGUGAAAUUGUCAAAAGGGAAGCGUUUGACACCAGUGUUGUUUUUCUGAAAAUCAAUUAAAGAACUGUUUAUGCUAAGCUGUUUAGACUUUAUCAGCUAUCUGUUUAGUUUUGAGCUUUUCUUUAAUGCACUUUUCAGUUAACAAGUCAACAUCAAUUUCUUUUGCUGUAAAAAAGCUUGAGGAAGGUGGCUUGAGAUUCGUCUUAAGUGUUUAUAGCCUCUUGCCUAUGCAGUCGGAGAGAUUGAGGUCUGCAGCGUAGAUCCUUCGGGGCUAAAUGCAUUUGUGCUAAGUUAUAGCAUUUUAUAGACAACUUGUUGACUAUGAUUUGUCUUGUAGCUUACUCGCUUAUGUUAUUUUACCUACGCUUAGGAUGUUGACGAGACUGUCGAUCUC